GUGGGGAAUCUUGCGCAAUGGGCGAAAGCCUGACGCAGCCAUGCCGCGUGAAUGAUGAAGGUCUUAGGAUUGUAAAAUUCUUUCACCGGGGACGAUAAUGACGGUACCCGGAGAAGAAGCUCCGGCUAACUUCGUGCCAGCAGCCGCGGUAAUACGAAGGGGGCUAGCGUUGCUCGGAAUUACUGGGCGUAAAGGGCGCGUAGGCGGACAGCUUAGUCAGAGGUGAAAGCCCAGGGCUCAACCUUGGAAUGGCCUUUGAUACUGGCUGUCUUGAGUUUGGGAGAGGUGAGUGGAACUCCGAGUGUAGAGGUGAAAUUCGUAGAUAUUCGGAAGAACACCAGUGGCGAAGGCGACUCACUGGCCCAAUACUGACGCUGAGGCGCGAAAGCGUGGGGAGCAAACAGGAUUAGAUACCCCGGUAGUCC
rnacentral:rRNA from 1 species